GUCUGACAGCAUCAUGAAAGGAUCCCUACAGAGAUAGAGCUUUGUGUUUAACCAGAAACAGCCCUGAAGUCACCGUCACCAAACCCACCAGACUCCAUUUAGAUAAGCAGUCAUGUUAGUGUGUAUAGAGGCAGCAUGUUGUCACAUCUAACUGGUGAGUUAAUUUGAACCAAACCAGAGCUGCUGAUUGUUGAACAGUGGAAAGAUGAACCAAGACCAUUUUUGUAAGUUUUAUUUUGUUUCUGUCGACUCUGAAUGAAGUGUGUUUAAUGAUGAUAAGAUGACUGUUGAUCUAAAUCAGGGGUCUGCAACCUUUGCCAUUAAAAGAGCCAUUUUUGACCAAGAAUAAUUUGAAAAAAUCUGUGUGGAGCCGCAAAACAUGUUUGAGCCUUAUAAUCAAGGUAAUUAGCCUAUUAAGUCUAAAUUAGCGUAUACUUAUGGUCUAAAUAAGCAUUUGUUAAUAUGUUUUACCACACAGUGGCCACUGUGCAGGGCACUAUUUAUGAUUAUUUGGUACUUAAAUUUUGCAGAGCUGGCAGUGAGAGCAAACAAAUCUGUCCACACACUACUACAUUCUCUAUUUUAUUCAAUUUACUUUUUUGGAUUUGGCAUCCAUAGCUAACCAGCCACUGCUAUCGAGGUUCAGCAACAUUUGGAUUCAUAGAAUGAAUCUCCAUAGAAUUCUUUUCUCAAAGGCUCAAGGAGCCACUGGACAGGGGCUAAAGAGCCACAUGUGGCUCCGGAGCCACAGGUUGCCUACCCCUGAUCUAAAUGGAGUCUGGUGGGUUUGGUGACGGUGAUUUCAGGGCUGUUUCUGGUUAAACACAAAGCUCUAUCUGUAGGGAUCCUUUCAUAAUGAUUGUUGUUUUAGAAAUUCUGUUUUCACUUCUUUACUGCCACAAUUUGUUUAACUUUGAAAACCCCAAUAAUACAGUCCUCACCUCCUGACAGAGGUGGUUUUAAGGGUUAUAAAAAUACAUGAUGUCACUAAACUGAACAAAUAAAAAGAUGACAAAAAGACAAGCGAGAGAAGGAUGAGGAGGAUAACAUUAGCAGAGAGCUUGAUGUAUGUGGAUUUUAGGAUCGUCAGGAUGAGGUGUCGUGACUUUAACUGUCUGUAGUGCAGAGAAAAUAAUUCAGAAAGGAUUUAAACACACACGUGGACGUCACUCCAGGAGGAGAACAAAAACCAGUGACUCAGACUGGUUUAUUAACGGCAGCAUCACUGGCCUCAGCUGCUCACUGUGUCUCACUGACAGUCAGGACGUCCAGAUGUGCAGUUCUCACCUUCAUGUCUGUCUGUCUGUCUGUCUGUCUGUCUGUCUGUCUGUCUGUUUGUCUCCAGCUGUGGGAACAAGAGGUCCUGUCAGGUCCCCGUCACUGAGCUGGUGUUUGGUGAAUACCCCUGUAAGGAGCAGACCAGGUACCUGGAGGUGUCCUACACCUGCGCCACACCUCCUCCUCCUCCUCCUCCUCCUCCUCCUCCUCCUCCUCCUCCAGCUCCAAUCAAACCUGACUGUAAGGACACAUCAACCGACGAAGCCUGAUGCUUUUAAAACGGUCUCGCUCAUCACUGUGGACAAGAACAGUACAAGAGGACGCCGCCUUCAUUUCUAACAUGUGACUGAGUUUAAACGUCGUGCUGUGACGUCACAUCUGUUUGUUCUUUGAUAUUUGACAUCUGAACAUAAAGUUUGUGAAGAGGAGGCUGAAGUGUCUGUAAAACAUGUCUGAGCUUAUUUUCUCCAAUAAAAUCAAAGUUUUCCUCUGA